rnacentral:rRNA from 1 species
AAAAUAAUGAUAUUACCUUACUAUGAGUGUUGUCCAAAUCUGGUGCCAGAAGACUCGGUAAGGCCAGAGACGCGAACGUUAGUCAUCUUAAACAGGCGUAAAGGGUGAGUAGGCAACUUUGAAAUUCUAAUUUUUUUAAUAGCACAAAAAAGAGGAAAAGUAGAAGAUAGAACUCUAACAUAGGAAAAAUAAAAUCGGGAAUAAAGGUUUAAAUCUGAGUAAACUCGAUAGAAUACUAAAGGGCAAGGCAUUUUUCCAAUAAAGAUUGACGCUGAGGAACGGAAGGAUAGGGCAAGAAUUCAGGAGUUAGAUACCCUGGUACUCCUUUCUGUAAACGAUGAAUGGUAGUCACUNNNAAAUAUUAGUGUAAAUGUUAAGACGUUAA